AAAAAAAGCCGGAAUAGCU
rnacentral:tRNA from 4 species